GGGGGGGUGUCCUUGCUGGAACGAACUAACUGCCCGCUCCUUCCUAUAUCUGCAUUGCUGCUCUGUCCUGUCCUAUGUUUAGUUAUCCUUUCGGAGAAGGGACACCAUGAUAAUACCAUGUGACUUGACCAAACGGCCCAGGAAGAUAAGUUUGGGAGUUCAGGAUGACAAGCGUGAAUCCUGCAAGUUUCUGCUAGAUGCAUUUGAUUUCUUUGGCGGUGUAAUUCCUUGUCAUAUCCUUGUACCGCAAGUACUGGUGCAGACAAAGUGACUGCUCUUUCCUUUCUGCGUGAAAACGGGGACGUCAUGUGAGCUGACCGUGUACAUUUCUGAAUGCUUUUUGAGUCCCUACUUCAUGUAUGGCUUGUUCGAUGAACAAACAAGUAUCCUGGUCCACUGAAUGAACAGAAGUUGAGGAUCCUGAAAGUGUAUAGUACUUGCAAUUCAAAAGCGGAACCACUUUGAUUUUUGUGGUAAUUU